rnacentral:lncRNA from 1 species
UUGCACUCUAAGGUUUAAGCUUGAAUUCCUCCAGGGAAUGCAUGAACUGAUUAAAAAGUGUUUACCCUCAAUGCAAUGCAGUCGCUUUGGAUAAAAGGACCUGCCAAAUGCAUAAAUGUAAAGUAAGUCAGCCAGCAAACUUUAGCCUUUAAGACAAGAAAAUAUUUUACUAUGAUUCUCAUGAAUAUUAUUUAGGGACACUUUUAAAAGUGCCUUGAAAAUGUUCUAGUGGGAAUAAUUGACCCUUGCUCUUUGGGUGGGUGGUGAUAAAAUUGUCCUUGAAGCAGAAAGUACCCAUUUACGCUCCCAAUCUUGUCAUAAAGAGUUUAAGGUUGCUGCUAUUCUCAUUUCUGGCACAUAGGAAUCGCAUGGACAUAUUGCAGCUCAGGGAAAAUCCACCCUGUGGAGAACAGUGACAGCCCAAGGACAUGUUCUGAAGGCCUUCAGACAAUUUGGAGAGGGAAAAAAAGUGCUAAAACCAUUGUAAACUCAUCAAACCAGGGGCCACGUCUCUGUUUUUAUCAGGGGUGGGAAGGUGGGCGAGAGGCCUGGAUGCUGGUAAGCUUUGAGGGAGCUUCUGGAUCCGGUCGUGGGCCUCUAUUGAUGAAGACUUUGAUCCAUUGUGCUCAGUUCCCUCUUUAGAGUGCAUGUGUUAGAGAUAUUUGUAGAACACCAUGCCAGUUAUAAUUACAUUAACUGAACAGUAGCUGAGGGAAGUCUCAAAGGUAACAUUUCUUAAACUCACAUUACACAUGUUGCUAUUACAACAUAUUGUAUUAACAAUAGCUGUUUCCUUUGUACAUUCACAAGCUCUCGCUCCAGGAGUUUCUUUGACAUCUGGGACGUUUUUGGCCUUGAGUUUUCCAGGCUAAUCGUGCCUUACCUAACGACCUGGCACGAUCUGAUCUAAGUCAUUGAUUUCAGUGAUGAAUUAGGGUUAUUUUUGAAAAAUGAGAAAAGGAUCUGAAGAUUACUAGAUUAAUUUCCAUCACGCUUCCAGCUCCGCCUGGCCUGAGAUCUGUGCUUCAGUUGGAAUGGACACUCAUAAAUAAGGCUAUUACUGCAAUCAGAAGGAAAUAUGAAAAAGGUGGACUUUCAUCUGUUGAAUGUUAGUAUAGGAAAGCUUUCAUUAUGAGGGAAAAUGAAUCCAGAAUUGAGGGUCUCACUAGCAGGCCAAGAGAUCCCAGGCUCACUGUAGAUCAGUCAUCAAAUUUACUAGUAUCGUAUUUAUAGUUAUAGAAAAUUUUGGAAUGAAAACGGGUUCUCUGCUUUUUCUCACUUCGAACUUAAUGUGUUCCUGCUUUGUGAACUCACUCUACAGCUAUACGGUUCUACUGUAACUUUUCCAUCACUAUUACUUACCUGUAUUGAUGCAUUUUCCCCCUCUUUAAUUCAGAUCAUUUUACUUUCACAAAUACAUAGUGGCCCCAAAAAUGUUUUGGAUGCUUAAGCCAAAUUAUAAUAAAUACAUUGUUUAAAUACAACUUCAUGCAUAGACGAAAAAUGAUCUUUCUUUAAAAAAAAAAAAGAAAACACUUCUUUGCAGAUGCCUUUUGGUUUGGUAUUUCCUAUGUAAUCCAGUGAAGGUCAAAUUUUAAAAACUGAAGUGUUUAAAUACUUUUAGGAAUCACUGUGUUUCAGGGUUGCCAGGUCUGUGUAAAAAAAAAAAAAACCCGUCCCAAUCAUGGCCAAACCUAGCCCAAUUGUGUUCUGGGGGAAUAUGGCUAUAAAAAUCACUACAAAGAUGUGUUUUGAGGGGUGAAAGCCUCCUUCCAGGGGGUUCCACCUUGAUCGAAGUUGCAUUCCAG